AUGGAUCCAGCGCUCAAGGAGUACCUCGACAAGCUCCGUCAGGACGCCAAGGCCGACUCCGCCCACGUCCUCAAGCAGAUGCAGGCGCAGUCCUCGCAGAUCGACGACCUACUUCACUGGAAGCCAGAUCUCGAGGCGCGCUUCGCGAAGUUGGAGUCCACAGUCACGGUGCUGCGAGCGACCGCACCGCCGAGUGGAGUGGCGAUUCCUCAACAUCUUCCUCCCCUGCUUCCAGCGCGGGGAGACCUCCACGGGCCCGAUGGCCGCGGCGACGUCGACCACACCGGAGGGGGCUCGUCAGUGACCCGCGAGUCACUGGCGGCACUUCCGGUCACGGGUACGCCCUCUCUUCCGAUCGUGCCGGCCCCUGUUCCUCCCCUGUCUUCUUCCAUCCUGACCAACUUGGGCCAACCACCAUCCAUGAAUUUCCCGAUGUUCACCGGCGAAAAUCCACAGCUCUGGAUAACUCUUUGCGAGCAAUACUUCCAGAUGUUCACGAUUCCCGACGCCUAUCGUGUUCCCAUGGCCACCCUGAAUUUUUCUGGUCCCGCGGGCAUCUGGCUACAGUCCGUCCAGAAAAAAUUAACUGGACUGGAUUGGGAGUCCUUCACCUCCCUCCUCUGCACCCGAUUUGGUCGUGACAAACACCAAAUGCUCAUUCGCCAAUUCUACGCUGUCAAACAAACUAUCACAGUAGCAGAUUUCAUUGAACGUUUCGAGACCUUGAUGAAUCAUCUUAUAUCUUACUCUGAGUCCACUCACCCGUAUUUUUUCCUGACUCGUUUUGUGGAGGGACUACGACCGGAUAUCCGUGCGGUGGUGCUCGUGCAACGCCCACCGGACCUGGACACGGCGUGCUCGCUGGCUCUACUUCAGGAGGAAGUGGCCGACGGCGGUCACUCAUUUGGGCGCCUCUCCAAUGCUUCCCGAGGCCACGGUCACGCGGGACGAUCGACGCCACCGUCCUUCUUCAGUCGGCCGGCUACACCAACUAUGAUCUCUGAAGAUCGCCGUGGAACUGAAGCAGCUCGCAUGACACCUGAAGCCAGCAAGGUCGCCGCUCUUCACGCCUUUCGGCGCGCGAAGGGGCUAUGUUUCAAGUGUGGCGAACGGUGGGGGAAGGACCACACCUGCCCGCCCACAGUGCAAAUGCACAUCGUGGAAGAGCUGCUCGCCAUGUUUCCCCAAGAUGAUGUGCAAUCUGAAUCGCCACUAGCUUCACCAAUUUUUGACGAGGAGAACCUCUGUACUCUGUCCCGUCAGGCUGAAGAUGGCUCGUCAGACCCAGGGGUACUGCAGUUGCAUGCCUGGCUCCAAGGACACGAGAUCCUGCUACUCGUCGACUCCGGUAGUUCUACGUCCUUCGUCGAUAGCUCUCUGGCAGCAAAACUCACUGGAGCCAAGCCACUGUCGCGCCCAUGCAGCGUACGCGUCGCCAAUGGCAACACCAUUCCCUGCACCACCUACAUCCCAGCGUGUCAGUGGACAACCCAGGGGCAUGAUUUCAGGAUAGAUUUCAAGAUCCUCAAACUGGGCUCGUACGAUGCAAUUCUCGGGAUGGACUGGUUAAGGCAGCACAGCCCCAUGAACAUUGACUGGAUCGAGCAAUUCUUAAAAGUUACAACUCCAGCCGGCCAACUGACGCUAUCUGCUACUGCUUCAGACCAAACCCAAUGCUCUAUGAUCUCCGCACCAGAGCUCCUCAAGGCUUGCAGGCAAGGAUCAGUAGUGCACAUCGUGCACCUCAGCGCUCUUGUCAGCUCCAGCACUGCCGAUUCUCCGAUUCCUGUUGAGAUCUUGCGCCUACUGGAACAGUUCACGGAUGUCUUUGAGGACCCACGGACCUUGCCACCUCGCCGCAAUUGCGACUAUCGCAUUCCUCUGAUGGCCGGUGCGCAGCCUGUCAAUUCCAGACCGUAUAGAUACAAACCUGAAUUAAAGGCAGAAAUCGAACAUCAGGUUCAGGAAAUGCUCGACGCAAGAUUCAUCCAGAAAAGUUCCAACCCCUUUUCAUCUCCAGCACUGCUAGACAAGAAGAAGGAUGGUACAUGGCGCUUGUGCGUUGACUACCGUCGCCUCAACUCCAUGACCGUGGUCGCCAAGUUUCCAGUACCAAUCAUCGCCGAGCUCCUUGAUGAACUGGUCGGUGCAAAGUGGUUCCCGAAGCUCGACUUACGUGCUGGAUUUCAUCAGAUAAGGAUGGCGGAAGGCGAAGAGUACAAGACGGCCUUCCAAACACACUCCGGGCACUGGGAAUACCGUGUCAUGCCUUUCGGAGUAGCGGAAGGUCCAGCCACAUUCAACGGGGGCAUGCACACCACCCUGUGCCCAGUCAUGCGCAAAUGCGUCGUCUCAUUCUUCGACGACAUCCUCAUCUUCAGCAAAACCCUGUCAGAACAUAUCCAACACAUCGCGCGCGUGCUCCAGCUGCUCAGAGACGACCACUGGCAAGUCAAGCAAUCCAAAUGUUCCUUCGCACAACGCCAGAUCGCUUACCUGGGGCAUGUGAUCGACGAACGUGGCGUUUCUACAGAUCCUAGCAAGGUCCUGACGAUCAAGUAG
rnacentral:rRNA from 1 species